GGGGUCGACUUUGGACCAGGGGAUCCUUGGUUCAAAUCCUAGCCUGACUGGAAAAUCACUAAAGACCCUUGUGCAAGGUCCUUAAUCCCCUAGAUGCUCCCGGUGUUUAGUGAGCGCCUUACAUGGCAGCACCCUGACAUCGGUGUGUGAGUGUGUUUGUGUGAAUGUGUGAAUGUGA